AUCCAGCUGAUAAAGAGUCUCAAAUAGGGUGAAACGCGCGUCCUGGAU
rfam:Schistosoma curassoni strain Dakar, Senegal genome assembly, scaffold: SCTD_scaffold0000341